UGGGGAAUAUUGGACAAUGGGCGAAAGCCUGAUCCAGCCAUGCCGCGUGUGUGAAGAAGGUCUUCGGAUUGUAAAGCACUUUAAGUUGGGAGGAAGGGCAGUAAGCGAAUACCUUGCUGUUUUGACGUUACCGACAGAAUAAGCACCGGCUAACUCUGUGCCAGCAGCCGCGGUAAUACAGAGGGUGCAAGCGUUAAUCGGAAUUACUGGGCGUAAAGCGCGCGUAGGUGGUUCGUUAAGUUGAAUGUGAAAGCCCCGGGCUCAACCUGGGAACUGCAGCCAAAACUGGCGAGCUAGAGUAGGGCAGAGGGUGGUGGAAUUUCCUGUGUAGCGGUGAAAUGCGUAGAGAUAGGAAGGAACACCAGUGGCGAAGGCGACCACCUGGGCUCAUACUGACACUGAGGUGCGAAAGCGUGGGGAGCAAACAGG
rnacentral:rRNA from 1 species